rnacentral:tRNA from 1 species
GGUCCUGUAGUGAAAUUCAUGUUGAGUUGCAAGCUCAUCGAUGUGCAUUAAAAGUGUGCCAGGGCCU